ACCACCCUCAUCACAUCUUUCUUCUACAACUUUUGUGUGAUUUCUCUCUCCUUUCUUUUCUUCAAAGGGAGAGAGAAGAAUAAAAAAACAAUAACAAUAAAAAAAAUAAACAAUUAACAUUUGUAAUAGAAAGAUGGCUUCUUCAAUGAGAGUGGCAGUUUUCCUUGGCAUGAUUGCAACCCUUAUUUCAAUAGUAGCUGCUUCAGAACCCGCAACUUUAUCUAUCAAUGUUGGCAUUCCCACCACAAACGAAAAAAGUGGUGCUGCUUCAUAUGAUCAAGCAAUUGCUUGUGUCCUAAUGUUGGUGGCUUUGGUGUUUACCUACCUCUUUCAUUAAAUGAAGGUCAUAAGAGAGACACAUUAUUUAUUGUAACACCAUAUGGGAAUAUUUUUGUUGACUAAAGAUUUAUUUUUUCAUUCUUUUUAUUACAAGAGGAAUACACUACAAUUGAAAACAAAAAGAUUAUGGAUUCCUAGAUUGUAUUUCUAGCUCCAAUAAUGAUAUUCAAGUUGUUCUUCU